rnacentral:rRNA from 1 species
UACAGAGGUCCCAAGCGUUGUUCGGAUUCAUUGGGCGUAAAGGGUGCGUAGGCGGCGCGGGAAGUCGGGUGUGAAAUCUCGGAGCUUAACUCCGAAACUGCAUUCGAUACUGCCGUGCUUGAGGACUGGAGAGGAGACUGGAAUUUACGGUGUAGCGGUGAAAUGCGUAGAUAUCGUAAGGAAGACCAGUGGCGAAGGCGGGUCUCUGGACAGUUCCUGACGCUGAGGCGACGAA